AUCAAGAUAGUUAACAGGUGGUAGAACACCUGGUUUGGAGUCAGAAAGAUCUGAGUUCAAAUCUAGUUUUAGAUA
rnacentral:tRNA from 1 species